rnacentral:rRNA from 1 species
CGCGUAGGCGGCUUCGACAGUCGGGUGUGAAAGCCCGGGGCUCAACCCCGGAACGGCACCCGAUACUCCGAGGCUCGAGACCGGGAGAGGAGGGUGGAAUACCCAGUGUAGAGGUGAAAUUCGUAGAUAUUGGGUGGAACACCGGUGGCGAAAGCGGCUCUCUGGCCCGGUUCUGACGCUGAGGCGCGAAAGCGUGGGGAGCAAACA